UACGGGGGGAGCAAGCGUUGUUCGGAUUUACUGGGCGUAAAGGGCGCGUAGGCGGUCAGCACAAGUCAGUUGUGAAAUCUCCGGGCUUAACUCGGAAAGGUCAACUGAUACUGUGCGACUAGAGUGCGGAAGGGGCAACUGGAAUUCUCGGUGUAGCGGUGAAAUGCGUAGAUAUCGAGAGGAACACCGGUGGCGAAGGCGGCUCUCUGGACAGUUCCUGACGCUGAGGCACGAAGGUCAGGGGAGCAAACGGG
rnacentral:rRNA from 1 species